AACGAACGCUGGCGGCGUGGAUAAGGCAUGCAAGUCGAGGGACGAAGUGAGAUCAAGUCUUCGGAUGAGAUCUCAUGGAAACCGGCAAACUGGUGAGUAACAUGUGGGAAAUCUGCCCCAGAGUGGGGACAACUUCGGGAAACCGAAGCUAAUACCGCAUACGUCUGUUGUGCCCAGGCACGGCAGGCAAAGGUGUCCGCAAGGAUGCCGCUCUAGGAUGAUCCCGCACCCCUAUCAGCUAGUUGGUGAGGUAAUGGCUCACCAAGGCUACGACGGGUAGGCGGCCUGAGAGGGUGGUCGCCCACGCCGGGACUGAGAUACGGCCCGGACUCCUACGGGAGGCAGCAGUCUAGAAGCUUCGGCAAUGGGGGAAAACCCUGACCGAGCGACGCCGCGUGUGGGAUGAAGCAUUUCGGUGUGUAAACCACUGUCAGAAGGGAAGAAGGCCUUGAAAAGCGAUAGCCUUUCAGGGAGAGACGGUACCUUCAGAGGAAGCCCCGGCUAANUCCGUGCCAGCAGCCGCGGUAAUACGGAGGGGGCGAGCGUUUGUUCGGAAUUUAUUGGGCUAAAGGGCGCGUAGGCGGCCUGGUUAGUCUAGCGUGAAACUCUUCACCGCUCAACGGGAAGACGGCGCUGGAUACUGCUGGGCUAGAGUGCGAGAGAGGUUGGUGGAAUUCCUGGUGUAGCGGUGGAAUGCGUAGAUAUCAGGAGGAACACCGGUGGCGAGGGCGGCCAACUGGCUCGUAACUGACGCUGAGGCGCGAAAGCGCGGGUAGC
rnacentral:rRNA from 1 species